rnacentral:rRNA from 1 species
AUGCACGAAAGCGUGGGGAGCAAACAGGGAUUAGAUACCCUGGUAGUCCACGCCGUAAACGUUGUACACUGGGUGGUUGGAUUUAAAAUCUGACUACCGGAGCUAAUGUUGUUAAGUGUACCACCUGGGGGAGGUACGGUCGCAAGGCUGAAACUCAAAGGGGAAUUGACGGGGGACCGCACAAGCGGUGGAGGCACGUGGUUUAAUUCGAUGGUAAGCGAAGAACCUUACCAGGGCUUGAAAUGAGUAGGACAGUCUGUGAAAGCAGAUCUCCCUUCGGGGUCUAUUUAUAGGUGUUGCAUGGUUGUCGUCAGCUCGUGCCGUGAGGUGUUGGGUUAAGUCCCGCAACGAGCGCAACCCUUGUUUAUAGUUGCCAUCAUUUAGUUGGGCACUCUAUAGAGACUGCCAGCGUUAAGCUGGAGGAAGGUGGGGAUGACGUCAAAUCAUCACGGCCCUUAUGUCCUGGGCUACACACAUGCUACAAUGGGUAGUACAAAGGGUUACGAAGCAGUGAUGUGGAGUUAAUCUCAAAAAGCUAUCCUCAGUUCGGAUUGUAGGCUGAAACCCGCCUACAUGAAGUUGGAAUCGCUAGUAAUCGCAGGUCAGCCAUACUGCGGUGAAUACGUUCUCGGUCCUUGUACACACCGCCCGU